rnacentral:misc_RNA from 1 species
AGUGCUAAAGAAAGGCCUAACUUCCCGCAGAACACAGACCAAUUCCGCCAACACAUACUUUUCCAUUUGCAGCAAAUCCUCAAAAUAAUGCUCCCCGGAUGAGUCAAUGUCAUGGCCGCUACGAAGAAAAACCAAUGUAUUCUCCACUAUGUUUGAUACAAUGUCCUUACAACCAUAGCAAAUACCAGACCUUAAAACAGCCUUUGUGGCAAUCUCUUCACUGUAACCAAAUGCCAUUAUUCUCUUAAUUGCACUCCUGAAAAUUGUAUCCAAGUUGUUCAAGACAAGCUCUUCUAGCUGGGCUUCUGUAAAAUCACUCCAAUCAGCAUCAUGGAACUGUUCAGUUGUUUCAACUACCUCUCUUGGCUCACUUGGACCUACUUCCGACGAUCCUACACUGCAAGACAAUCCGAGGUCAAGUUUCAAACUCUCUGAGCUGUCUUGCUUCAGGCUACACAUAUCACAACCAUUCGACAAUUCAUGAGUAGGGAUCAUUCCAAAUUUAUCCGCUGAGAAUUCAAAACUCGUGCACUCAAACUGAGGUGAAGAGAUCAUUUUAUUUGGAUCAACUAGAGGUGGAUCCGCUCUGAAUUUCCUCUUAUUCCUACUUCCUUUUUCCAAGACUGUCACAGCCGGUGUAUAUUGAGCCGAUGGCGUAGCACAUGCCUUUGCAACCAUUGAUGCCAUUACUUAGCAGAUUUAGAGCUAAAAAGUUUUGAGCAAAUCAAAGGUAGGAUAAAUCUAAGAGCAUGGAGAUUAGAGAAAGAGUAGAGAAGAUCCUUUU